CAUUUUAAUUGACAAUAUAUGUGUAAUUUUAGUUGACAAUAUUUGAUAUUUUUAAUUAAUAAAGAAUUUCUAUUUUUCUCUUUCUCGUCUCUAGGUGAACACGCUGAAACAAGUGGGUGGAUUGAAUUUAUCCAAUAUAAUCCCAAAUAUAUUAAAAAAGUUAUUGAGCGACCAUUUUGCACAGACUUUCAGUUACUUAGGACAACGAAACGAAAAGAAAAAUUUCAGUGCUUUAAAAUUAUGCUCAAUUGUGAAGAGAGUGAUACGAAUUCAUAAACCGGAAUCGAGUGAUACACAGAUUGCUGAAUCAAUAUCAAGUUGGUUAGUACAUGCUAAGUGGCGAGAGCUAAGAGCAGAAGCAAAAAUGAGAAAGCAACAGCAGCGCGAAGCAAUCGAUGAAGCAGAGGAUGCGAACUGAUGUGAUGGAAAGAAGCAAUAUAAUAGAUAUUAUACAAGUCAUGUAAAACUCAUAUUUAGUUUAUUUUUUUAUUUUGAAAGUCAUUUAUAUUAUAGUUUAUUAUCCAGUAGCAUAACUACCGGGUCCGUUUUUGUUAAUUUUCACAAGGGUGCAGUAAUAAUGAUCGUACUCAACAGACUUAACAGAUGAGCAAUUUUCUAGUCGCUCGAUG